ACAGCUCGAAACUCUUUUAGUAUAGCGUUGGCGUGCGAGACAAACGGUUCGGUUCUCCCAAGCAAAAAGCGAAGCAACCAGAACAAAGAAGCUGUGCAAGUAACAGAGGCAUCUCCGCCUCCAAAUCCUCCAGAGAAAGAGACCCGAGCAGCAGCAGCAGCAGCUAAAAAAGAAAAAGAAAAAUAAACCCUGAAGAAAACCGAAAAGCAGCUCGAGCGCAUCGAGCGUGCAAAUUAAAAGCGCACAACAGUAGCUCCCGAGGAACAACCAGAGCUAUAGCAACAGCAACAGCAACAUGGAAGUGGCUACAACAAACAAUCACAGUCAGAGCCAUCAUCAUCAUCAUCUGCAGGCAGCAGCAGCCCAGUCCCAUGGCAAUGGUGGGCUGGUGGGGGCCGGGGGCACCGGCUCCCGUUCCCCAUUCCAGCGUGAGGUGCGUGAAUGGCAACGCAUCGAUCCCAAUACUGGAGCUCUGUUUAGUGGACGUUUGGAGGCAGAUCGCUGGAUAAAUGGACCACUGAACAGCUAUGGCAAGAUAUCCGAUUCCCAAAACAUCUCACAGCCGAACGGCACACAGCACACACAGCGCAAACAGUUGGAGGUGCUGAAGGCACGCACCGCCAACGGCGCCAUGCAGGUGAUACGCACACAGACAGUACAAAAGACCUCAUCCACCACCAGCAGCAGCACAUCGCGCGGCUGGGCCGCAUCCUCCACGUCCACCACGACCCGCACCAGUGUUCCUACUCCGCCAAGCAUUUGGUCACCGCCGGCAUCCAGAUGCAGGCCCAAGCCCAUGCCCAGGCCCAGGCCCACCUCUCAGAGUGUUGACAUCUGUGAGCUCAGCGACGAUGAUAGCAGUCUCAGUGGCAGUCUUAGCAGCGACAUUGGCAUCGUAUCCCCGGCCAUGUCGACGCUGCGCAAGCUGAGCAAUGGCCAGGAGCACAUCGACGAUCAUGUUGAUUUUGUUGUGAUUAAUGGUGAAGGCAGCGAUCAAGACGCUGACGUCGCUCAUUUGCACAAACUCGGACACAAUUUGUUACCCGAUACGGCUCCAAGUUUGAAAUUGAGCAAUCUAAUGAAAAGCAGUUCGAGUAUUUCCAGCCAAAGCAGCAACAAUUCAAAUUUAACAACUGCAGCAGCAACAGCCACAGCCACAGCCACAGCGGGCAACACCCACAGAAGUGCGGGCAAAAUAAGCCUACAUGCAAUUGUUGGACCAGAAUCAUCAUCAUCAUCCACAUCCACGUCGUCCGCUUGGGCCAAGCAGCAGCAGCAGCAGGCCGACUUAUAUGGCCAGCCACCAUCAGCCAGCAACGGCAGCGGCAGCAGCGGCAGUCGCGUGGGUGUAUCCCAAGCUCAGCCUCAGCCUCAGUCUCAGCUUGGUACUGGAUCUGAUGCUGACGUAGCUGUUGUUGUUGCUGUUGCUGGUGCUGGUGCUGGUGGUGGUAGUACGCCAACGCGACUUCGUCGUGAUUUGGAAAGUUUCCGGCAUUAUAACGAUGACGCUGCCAACGACGAUGAUUUGCGGCUCAGCGCACGGCAUCAGCGUCGCCAGCAGGUGUCCCAGUCGGUGUAUGCCCCGCCGUUGCCAGCCAUUGGCAGUGGGCUGCUCCAGCGCUCACGCUCGAUAUCCACGGACGAUCUCAGCCAGGAUUGGGAGCGCAACGAGGAGCAGGAAGAGGAGCCGGGCGAGUGGCGACGCGUCAGCAAGCUGCGUCGCUCCUUUCAGUCACAGGAUCACUACAAGACGAACGUCACACGGCCACGUCCCUUGGAUUUGCCCAGCAACUCGGUGAGUGUGGCCCGCAUGCGCGCGGAGCUGGAGAACGGUCGUCGCUUGCACACGGCCAUGCGGAAUAAUCACGUGGAUCUGGCGGCACUCGACACCAUAUUGAAUACCCAGACGGCCAAGCCAACGGUGGCCAAGAGGAACACGUUCCUAACGGCCGAAUCGCUGCAGGAAAUACGCGGCAAGCUGAAGAAACUCUCGGACGAGAGCCUGUACAAGGAGGACUUCCUGGCCUACCACCAGGCUCGACCCAAGCUCAGGGAACAGUCCGAGGAGCAAGUGCAAGUUCCCGUGCAAGUGGCAGCUCCACUGCCGGCACCCUCAGCCUUUCGUCCCGUGCACAAUACCCACAGCCUGGAGUCGCGUCAGCGGCAGAAGGACACCAGCACUGAGUGGCAUUUGCGGCGUAAGUCGUACGGCUUUGAGAAGAUGUCGCCACCCGAGGAUAAGAGCAUCUUCCGGGUGGAUGCCUCCACGGACAGUGGCCUGGGACGCUCCGGCGAGCAGCUGGGCAAUUGGUCGCCCACGGAGAGAGAACGGGAGCGGGAGAGAACCGCUGCAGCAGCAGCAGCUCAUCUGAAUAAUGGUGGAGGCACCAUUAUACACUUUGGACGUGUGGCCAAGCCACCUGCAAGUCCGGUCAAUGAGGGAGAGUUGAGCAAGCGGCACUCGAUUGCCGUGGAGGAGACCUGGCGCGACAUACGCAAGACAUCGCAGGUGCAUGUGAAUGGAGGGACGGUGACUAGCAGCAGCAGCAGCAGCACCACAAAUACCAGCAGUCAACUGCAGCGGAACAGCGCCCAGAAGCGUGUGGAGUUCUGCAAGACAGAGGUACACUUUGCCGCCGAGUCGGGACGGGUGAACAUUGUCGAGACAGAUGGCAAGCCGCCGCCCACGAACAACUUUCGCCGCAGACGACGCAGCACUGCCAGCGGACCGCUUCAGAGUCUGGUGAAGUCAGCCAGUGUUGGUGGCAGCACCACCACGAGCAGCAGCAGCGGCAGCGGCAGCAGCAACAGCAACGACAAUGUGACCCACUUUGGGGAUGAUCCACAGCGACGCAAGACGAUAGCCACCAGCACAGUGGCAUAUCGAGCCACACUCAUGGAUCCCCCGGAGGUGGUUAGCCAGCCCACAGCCACAUUGACAUCAACGUCCACAUCGGCAGCAGCAGCCCAGACAUUGUCCCAGGUGACAGUCACGCUGGAGCCACGCUACAGUCUGACGGAGUCAACGUCGCGGAACAGCUACACCUCGACCAGUGGCGUGGAUACGACAGACAACGAAACGGAUGAGCUGUCCAACAUUCGGGGCAUCCUGAAGAACAAGCCAGUGAAACCGAAGCCCUAUCAUCUGGGUGAGAAUAUCGAGAGUGCCGAUGUCCUGUGGAGUGUGCCGGCAAUGAAGGGCGAACGCGAGAGUCCCUCAGGCAGGGAUAGUGGCAUCACUAGUGACUCUCCCAUCUCUGCCAAAUCGGUGGCCGAACGCAUAAGAAUUGUGGAACAGCGACAGCAAGUCCAGAAGCAAACCUCGCCCGCGGGCAAUGGCUACUCGACGAAGAUCAAUGUGAGCCUCGGUGCAGAAGAGUGGCCAGAAACAGGCACACAUCAUUAUCAUCAUUAUCGUCGUGCCAGUGCCCAGGAGCUGUUGCUGGAGGAUCUGCGCAAUCACCAGCGCAUCCUGGAUGAGGGCCUCAAGUCGACGUCGCUCAUCAUGAAGACCAUGCGCUCGGCCAACGAAUUCGAUGAGGCCAUGCGACGCCUGAGCAUAGCCUCGAUCGAGUCCGCGCUGAUCCAGCCCACCAUUGUGGUGCCCACGCCAAUGCUGCGCUCCCACAGCUACCAGGAGGAGACAUCAUCCUCGCGUCGCACCUCAACCACCUCCAUAACGAGCAGCGACUUGUUCGGCAGUGCCCUGUACGACUCAUUGCCACGGACACCGCUGGCCCCACUGGCACCGCCGCGUCUCAAGCUGCUCGGCAAUACACAGAUACCCGUGAGCCAGCAGUUGACACAGCUGCGGCGGCUGUACGAUGCCGCUGAGCAGGAUGCGGAGGAGGACAGUGCCGAUGAGGAGGUGAAGCGUUACUUUCGCGACAACAGCAACAGCGACAGCGGCGGCGGCACUCAGGCCAGCUCCUCGCCGGAGACAGUGCAUCAUCAUUCUCAGCCGCUGCCGCAGGCGGAUGUGUUCAAGGGCAGCGAGUACUCGAGCAGCUGGAGCCGCUUGAAGGCCAAGCGCACCAUCUGGAAGAUUGAGGCACAAGAUCAGAUGCUGCAGCGAGCAGAUCUACCCAAAUCGAAUGUCAUGAACAUUGCUCUGCAUUCUCCGCGUGUGGAGAAGCCCAAGGCCACGCCGCCAACUCUGCGCAUUGGCCAGCUCAUUCCAGUGGCCAAGCCGCGUACCCUCUUCAUUCAGCCAACGUCUGUGGAGGCGCCUGACGAUUCCGGCAGCGAGUCCCUGAAAAUAGUCAAGGAGGCGCGCGGUGCCCGCAAGCUGCGCGAACACGAACUCUCCUACUUUGGAGUCCAGCAACUGCAGCAGCAGCAACAAACGAAAUUGUCGACGACUUCAACGAAUCCCAGAAGAACGCUGCCUUCGCGCAGCAAAUUGAGCCACACGGAGGAGGCUGUGGCUCCCACAACGACAACCACCAAGUGGCAGCUGCUCAACGAUCGACCCGACCUGCUGCGGCACAGUCCGCAGGACAACGACUACGACGAUGACGAAGAUGAUGCUGACAAUGAGGAGCAUUGCUAUGAGAAUAUUGCCAACGAGUUGACAACAACAUUCCGGGUGAAGUCGCCACCGCAUUCGCAUUCACCUUCAUCGCGUUCCCGUUCGCCCGGCAGCUACGAGCGGAAGACAGACCUGCAAAGGGAUGCACAGAUACUGAGCGAAAUGACCCGCAACGCUGAUCAAACUUUGAAGUCACUCUCCGAUGAGGCGGCCAUCAAGGAUCAGCGACGAAGAUCGUGCUCACUGCAGCGCCGCAGUGGCAAGCCCCUGGAAACCAUCGACGAGAAGGUCUACAACGGGGAGCGUCAAUCGCUGAGUGUGGCACGUGGCACCUUCGCCUCGGAGGCGCGUCGCAAUUCGCGACAGUCCACGCCCUCCCCAACACCCACACGGGCACGCAGCUCCUCCCAGUCGUCCAUCGAGUGCUGUCCCCGUGACCGUUCCCGCUCCAGCUCCCGCGAGUCCAACACCCAAGGCGCCGGCUCCUCGGACGACCAAGCCAGCAAACAUCGGGCCGAGCGUCUGCGCAUGCGCACCCCCAAACGCGAAAAGUCGCGACACGAACCUGUCGAGCAGCGCACCAGUCGGCACACCAGCAAGCCCAGAUCGAGCACAGCUCAUGCUGCGGCUGCUGCUGCCACUUCUUCGCUGGAGUCCAAGCGUAGCUCCCAUCACAGUCGUCACCGAGAUGUGGAACACGUGUCCAGCGAGAGCAAACACAGCUCGGGCAGUCGUCUGCUGCGCUCCUCUCGUGUCAGCGAUGAGAGUCGUCCACGUCAGAGUGCGCUACGUGAACGGGAACGCUCCCGAGGCAGUGAGAAGCAUCGCGAAGAGCUGACACGUUCGCGGGGUCACUCCAGUCGCUCUAGGCACAGCAGCGAGCAGGCAGCACAGGCGGCGGCUGGAACGCGUGAGAGCAGCAGACCAAGUAAGACGAGAUCGAGUCGCAGCACUCACGAAGCGGCAGCGGCGACCACACACAAAAAGUCCACAACAGCCACAGCAAAACCAUCGAAAUCCACAACGCAUAAAGCAACCACAACAAACACCAGCAACAGCAACACCAGCAACACGACAGCUAUAACCCCAUCCACUCACAACGAACUGACGUACGUAUACGUAACGAAUUUAGCACCUACAAAAGCCGGGGAGGAAGUGGCAGCGGAAGCGGCAGCUAAGGCCAUCGAUGCAGAUGCAGACUAUGCCAGCAUUGAGGAGAUAUCGAAUCCAAGUCCGAUGGUGCCACUGCCACCGCCGCGUCGCAAGCGCAAGAGAUCCCUCAUACCCGUGCCCGUACAGCCCACCGCCUCGUUUGAGUACCGCACCAAGCUGGAGAUGAUUCCGCCCAGCUACUCGAAUCAGUCGACGCUCAGGUGUCGCAGCAUGGCGCGGCGACCUGCCAUGAGGAAGCCCUCGCUGAAGGCCACCCAGUCGACCAGCUCGAGUUUCGCCUUUCUGCCGUAUCUGGCGGCCGAGCGGAAUUCGAGUGUUAGCCAUGUCUAUGACAAUUAUUUGCUGUACACGGCAGCAGGUGGUGCCAGUGGCAGUGCCAGUGCCAGCCAAAAGCUGGAAAAACUUCGUCCAUAUCAGAAUAAUCUCAGCAAUGAUCAUGCUCAGCUCUUUGGCGGCACGGCUGGGGGUGCGGCUGCUGGUCGUGGUCCGGGCGCGGGUGCGGGUGCGGGUCGGUUGGGCGGCUGGCCAAAGCGUCUGAGGAUGCGGCAGGUGCGCAGCAGCGUCUCCACGCACCAGCCCUUCGGCAUCUGCACAUGUUCAUAGUCAGCGCUGGAGGCGCACACAGCACAGCUCAACUCUGCACAGCACACACUCGUAGAGAAAUGAAACCAAAAAUAAGCAAAACAAACAAAAAAUAUUGUAUCGGAUGCAAGGAUCUCGUCACACACAAGUUACAUUUACAAAUAAUCCCAAUGCACGAAAAAUGUUUGAUAAAUGUUUGAAUAUUUCCCCCACAUAUUCCGUAUUCCUAAUCCCCACCACUCCCACCCACUGUGUUCCCCCUACUAAUACCUAAACAAAAACCAAGCAAAACUACUACUGAUCCGUGAGAGAGAUUUUUCGUUGUUCAUUUUUUGAAUAUUGUUUUUUUGGAGCGCACACAAAUCAAACAAAAACAAAAACAAAUCAAAACAAAAACCCAACCCGGCCAAAGCACACACGCACAAUAAGGGGCAGGGAGAAUGAAUCCAUUUGUUGGAUUCGUUGUUCCAUCUGGUUCUGUUUUUACUUUUCACAGCACACGGUAAAAGCACACUGAAUGGACACCACCAUCAUCAGCAUAGCAGCAGCAGCAGCAAGCAUCAUGGAUCAACUGGGCAGGGCCAUCGGGAACAGCCCCAUCAUGUGCACAGCCUGACAACGAC